AAUAGGGCACUUUAAGAGGAAUGAUUGGCAGUGUAUUAUUCUGUAAGAGGCAAGCAAGCAUUUAUGGGUCAUUUAAACAUUCAAAUAAUCCUUAGCUCCUCGAGGCUCUCAAUAGUUCACCAGCGGUGUGACCUGCCUAAACUAGUGUGCAUGACUGUGUAAAGCUGCCAAAGAGAAAAGAAGCUUACAACAAAACGACCUGUAGUGUAAUGGACUCUGAUAGAUCUGUAUUGGAAUAUAGUCAAGCCAGCCAUCUGGCAGCUUGUCUAUCUGACAGCUUAUUUUAUCAAGCCCUGCUUUCAACACGUGUGACAGCACUGUGGUGGGGUUACGCGAUGGGAAGGAAUCGAUACGACGGAGCCCAGCCCAACACACACAGAAUGAGAGAGAGGAGAGAAGAACAUGUCAACAGCAAAUAUACAGGUUGUCUGAGAGUGUCUUGUUCGGCUGGUGUCUGGCUCUCACUGUGAGGAUGAGGAUGAUGGUGGUGAUGAAGGUGAGAGGUGGGCACACGCUUCGGCGGCGCGGAUUGGCUGUAUCGGGUGUAGCGGGUACCGAGCCGUGUAAUACAGCAUCACAAGCGGAGAUCAAGAGUGCAAGUGAGACUUCCUUUACCCAGGGCGGUAAAGGGAAAUAGCCUACAAAAGAUGUUUACUUAUUCAAAUCAUUAGCUUUGACCCAAAAAAAAAAAAAAAUGUGUUAACUCUUACUCGACUUAAAACUUAUUUUUCGCAUUUCUCCAGACCUUUUCGUUACUUUUGCAACAGAAUAACAGUUGCAAAUAUAAGCUGCUCGUUGAUGUUUGAUUCGCAAAAGAAUUGUUUGAACGAAUCAUUUGAGUCGAUUCUUUUCCAUGUAGGCUAGGCUACCUUUCAAACGGGUUCGCAAAGCGGUCUGAACUAUUCGAAUGUGAAUCGCGAAUCUGAAUCAAAUCACAAGAGAAGCACCCUGGAACACGUAAUUCGAAGAAGAGACUGUUCGUGUAAGCUUUAAUCUUUGAUUUUUUUUAAAUAUAUAAAUUAAUUUGAUACAUGUAAGGAUUUUUAUUAGGAGCGGUGUGAAAAGCUGAUAUAUUUGUAGGCCUAGUUUCCGUGGGAAAUACGAACAUGCCGCCGUUAUCUUGUGCCAUAUCUUUAUGUGCCAUAUCUUUAAUAGAUCUAUAAGAAUCUUAUGAGUUUAAAUGGGGCCUACCGCCUACAAAACUCGUUUAACCUGAAACUGAACACUCAUUUGUCUGAAUUGUUAUAGUCAGGCAUACAAAGGAGAAAACACCAUAUAAUAAAAAAUGGGUACAAAGUUAAACAGAAAUUAUUAUUCUAUAUUUUAAAUAGUAUCACAAUGAAACAAUAUUUUGUCUGUGCUUGCCCAAACAAAAAUGUAGAGAUGCUAGAGUGUUAUUGGAGUGUUGCUAUGCAGUUGCUGGGGUUUUCUACAUUGUUAUUUAACUCAUUUAUGUUGUUUUUAGGGUGUUCUCAUGCUGCAGGGGUGAGCAAUAGUUACCUUAGCGAUCACCACUAAUUAUAAAACCAGCACCUCCAACGCAUACUGGGAAAACAUGUGUCAUCCUGUGUAUCUCUUAGUGUAUAUUGCGAGGUAUUAUUAUAUUAUUAACUAGGCAUAGAUUCUCAAAAUUUCUGUUAAUUCCUACUAUUUCAGGUACAUUGCAGCUUAAUUGUUUUGCUUGCUCUAUAAUUUUGUUUUGUUGUGCAUCAGUUGAUCUCCGUACAACACUCACAACACUAAACUCUUGAUUAAUCAAGCCAGUGGCAGCUCCAGUCUCUAAAGGGAAUGAUGCAUAAGCACUUUUCUUCUCACACCCGUGUAUCUCGUCAAACAUUUAAAUGAAAUGCUGCGCAUGAGUUUGUGUUUCUCUGUUUCAUUUCACGAGCAUGCACUGAGUGAGGUGGUGUGUCACUCAUAAUUAUCUGUCUCAGCUUCAGAACAGAAUAAGCAAAGCACACACUGUUCACAACUCUCCUCUCCUGUCACACCCAGUUGGUGCUUGUUCUCAGGAUAAGGACGCAUGACUCUGUCAAACAUUUAAGUUUGCUUGCCACUUCAACAAUACCUAAAACCCUGAAUCUGGGCAAACCACCAACUAACUGAAACCUACAACCUUUCGACAGGCUCACAGCUCAGACCGGCAAUUGUACAUCCUGUUACAGCACUCGGUGUGCCCUGCUCCCAGUCCAGCUGUGCUGUAAUGCACUUCUGAGCUGGUGGGAUCGAACCGAAGCUCUGCUCAAUAGCAGCAGGACUUUUGGGAUUUUACGAGGAUCUCGAUGAGGAGUGGAUUCUGCUGUUCCUUGAGACAGCUCAGAGGAGCUUGCGCAUACCGGCAAGGAAAUGUAAGCCUGCAAGGAUGUGUGCUGUGAGAGAGAAGUUGUUUUUCCUUUUCUUUUGUUGUGUAAUCUGCAAUGUCAACUCAUAUGUCUGUUACUGUCUAACACCACCAGCCGCCUAUUUCAGGACCGCUUCAGCACAACAAUUCCCACACAAUUCAAUUAACGGACUGAAAAUAGGGCUCCCAAGACUGUCUUUGUUACAGCACUAAUAUGACUGCCAACGGGAGAAUGUAGUCCGUUAAAAGAUUCUCCUCCACUAAUUCUCCAAGAAGGCCAUAUUCUAAGCUAAAGAGGCCUUUGUCUUACACUUCCUUUUUGCACGCAGAGCUCCGGCGUCCUCAUCUCACACUGACGGCACUCCUAUUGUGCUCUUCAGAUGAGCUGCUUUAAUUGAGCUUUGCUCUAGAUCUGUUUAAUUUAACUGGAAAGAUAUUUGCUUUCAUUAGUGGAAUGUGUUGGGUUGACCUUUGAAGUACUUAUUUAGAGCCAUGUGGUUAAUUGAAAACUUUUGUAAUGCUGCUAUUAAAGUACCGGCAACAUGCAUAAAGAUUUUCUGGGAAACAUACUCGUAUUCGGUACUGAACAGAAAGAUUAGCGUUAUCUGGUGAAAUUAAAUUGAAUAUUUACAGGGUCGCUUCUGUUAUGCAGUACCUUUGAACUGUAACUUUUACAAAAUGAACAUGCUCGGCUGCGUUCACAGUCACACAAUGAUUAGGAUUGACUGUAUUUACUAACUGUACUUGUUCACUUUGAGGCUGUUUUUAAUGUUUCUCCUCCAUUUAGUACUUAAAGCUGCAAUCUCUAAAUUUUGCCUCUUUGUCGCCAUCUCUGUUUGAAACCUGCAAUUGCAGUUAUUUGCGGAAUUAUCAUCUUUACGUGGGUUGCGCAUCGGCAUGGCUCCUCAGCGCGGAUGAAUCUAAUGUUUCGAGGAGAAUGUGUGGUUGUUCACCGCACCAGUGGAUACUGUACCUCGCAAUCACAGAUGGAAGUAUGACCAAAAUAAGAAUUUUCACCGGAAAAUGUCUGAACAAGUAAGGAUAAAUCUGCCACUUUUGUUCUGACCAACUGAGAAAAAAAAGUAUUACAAUAAAUCGCGCUCGGAUCACGUCAAAGCAUGCAAAUUAUUAUUACUGUUAUACUUUGUUCUCAAAUUGUUAAUGUUAACAAAAUCAGCAUUGCGUGACUAUGUGUAUUUAGUGUGUAUUACCUGUAGAUAUCAAUUUCUGUACAGUCUAAUCUCUAACGUUAAUUUGUCAUACCAUACAAUCCGCCAUCAAAAUGAUAAGUUUAAUUAUUGCAGCUGCUGUGAGAAAAGGCUAUAAAUGAUCCACCACACACUGGUUAUGUACUAAAUUGAUUUUGGAUAUUUUUUAACCAAUUUAAACCGAUUUCAAACCAGUUUUAAAUCACAUCAUUACAUAUAUAUAGUUUUUAGUCACAUGACUGCCACAGAGGCCUGGAGGGCAAAACAUGCACAAAACUGCAUUACAGACCUGUCAAUUUUCUCAAAAGAAGAAAAUCAAAAACAUGUGAACAAAAUGCAAGUUUUGUGACCCAUAUACAGCACCUGCUGCGGUAUUUCAAUCAUAAUAACAGCGGGACGUUCUAAAACGCUUAAUGUGAAAAACAUUUAAAGUGCCUUAAUGUACUAAAACAGUGAUAUUAAAACAUCAAAUUCAGCAUAAACCUUAUUGAAGAUGCAAACUAUAUUCAGGCAAGCCCAGAAUUUGAGCGCAACAAAAUUUGGUUAAGCUUUAUAUAUAUAUAUAUAUAUAUAUAUGGUUUUCUUUGGAAAAACGUUUAACAAGAAACUGCUCAUUGUGUUUAUAUUCUGGGUUCAUCUGCUUGCCUGUACAUAGUAUGCAUCAUCAAUAAGGUUUAUAUUGAAUUUGGUCUUUUAAUAUCACUGUCUUACUAAAUUAGUACUUAGCACAAACCUGGUAAACAUGACUGGUGUGCAGUGGAGGAAAGUCUUGUUUUGCCCUCCAGGUGGUGCGUUCCUAUAAGUGUGUGACACCGUGGGAAAACUAUGAAUUAGUAUAUAUAAAUUAGAUUUCAAAUGUUGUUUGGGACUGUGGCUGAAAUAACAAAUAUCAACUUAAUACACAUUUGUUGACAUAUACUUACUGGCCAUUUGGAAAUAAAGUUUGUUUGUAAUACACUACCGUUAAAAAUUUUGGAGUCAGUAUCAUGAUUUCCACUAAAAUGUUAAGCAGCACAACUGUUUUCAACAUUCAUAAUAAAAGAAAAUGUUUCUACCAAAUCAGCAUAUUAGAAUGAUUUCUGAAGAUUCAUCUGACACUGAAGACUGGAGUAAUGAUGCUGAAAACAGGAAUAAAUUACAUUUUUAUAUAUAAAUUACAUUAAAAUAUAUUACAAUACAAAAUUAAUAUGAUUACCAUCUUUAAAAGUGUGAGUUUAAUAUUUUGUCCAAUAUAAUGGGGACAUGAAAAUGUACUGCACAUAGUAUAAAUGACAUCAGCUGACAUGUCCACUCUCCAUUUCUAAAAGAAAACGUGAUAAAUACAAUUUAAAAGCAUCAUAAAUCACAGUCAGCUUUCCCAAGACAGCUUUAUAUGAAUAUGUUCAUAUUCAUUCACCCUUGCGGUAAAAAUUCGGAAUGCGCUUUACCCUUGUGACAGUGUUUUAGAUUGUAUUGCAGUUGUACAGACGGGCCAUGCACCUCCAAACCACAAGAGUGCAUCUGUGGUUUGUCCCAGCUCUGUCUGCAUUCAGGGCAGCAAUAAAAGACAAACCGAUCCGAUGACUCCCUCAAGGUAUAUCUAACCUGAUUCUGCGUGUCUGUGUUCUCAUCUGUCAACUUGACCCAACUGUGACUAUUGAGUUUUAUAUAGCUCUUGUUUAACUAUAAAUCUUGACUUCAUUAUGCCUGUAGACCUCAGGGUUUGUCUUUACCUUCCUCUCUUCAGGACAAAAUAUGAAUGAUUUAAGGGAGGAACAGAUCCAGGCAAGGGCAAAUCAGACACCAGAGUGAGUCUUCAACUCUGCACGUUUACCUGCUAACCAGCAUGUACAACGCUCCACAAGGACAGCCGGAUUAGAAGAUGCAUUGCAGUCUACAACUUACUCUACAAGAAUUACUCUACCAGAUGAAAUGCACGCAUUAGAUCUUUUAAUUCUGUAUUAUUUAAAUAAAUAUUGUGUUUGUGGUAUGUUGAUGAUCCAGUGAUAGGGGAACAGUCUGUAAUCCCACGAGUGAAAUCAGUAAACUGGAAGAAAAGCC